rnacentral:rRNA from 1 species
AAUCAACGCUGGCGGCGUGCCUAACACAUGCAAGUCGAACGCGAAAGUUCCUUCGGGGAUGAGUAGAGUGGCGUCCGGGUGAGUAACGCGUGGGUAAUCUGCCUUUGGGGUGGGGAGUAACUACAGGGAAACGUUAGGGUCGUAAUAACCGCCAUAAUAGCAGCGGCGUCGACAAUCGAGACAGUUGUUAAAGACAGCAAUGCGCCUGAAGAGGAGCCU